UUCCCGUGUCCAAUUAAUGAUGAUAAGAAGAAAAUAAAGAAGAAGGAGAAGAAAGUUCCGUGUGCUGUGUUCGUCGGAAAUUACAGGUGAUGCGGUUCAAGGAGGAAAAGCUGAUGAGUAAUGAAGAACUCGAACUGAUCGUCAUGGAGUAGAUCGAGCGGGUGUACGUCGACGGCUCAACGUGGUGCUUCCGGGGCAUUGAUCCCGACGCAGUUCUUCCCGGAAUUCAUUCGAAAAGGCGAGCUGUUCCCAAAGUGAUGCAACAGGAAGGUUAAGACCGAGGAAAUCAUAUUGGAUCUGGAUUUUGAUUGCUUUCGGGAGACAAUUCCUGCCCCGGCGUUUGCAGGCAUACCAAGAAUGAAGCUGUUUUGAAAUUGGUGAGAUUGCUCCUUUUUUAUCUACUACUAGCUGUCCCGGCAAACGUCGUUCUGCCUGCCUACUGUGUUUUUU